rnacentral:rRNA from 1 species
AUUGAACGCUGGCGGCAGGCCUAACACAUGCAAGUCGAGCGGAUGAAGGGAGCUUGCUCCUGGAUUCAGCGGCGGACGGGUGAGUAAUGCCUAGGAAUCUGCCUGGUAGUGGGGGAUAACGUCCGGAAACGGGCGCUAAUACCGCAUACGUCCUGAGGGAGAAAGUGGGGGAUCUUCGGACCUCACGCUAUCAGAUGAGCCUAGGUCGGAUUAGCUAGUUGGUGGGGUAAAGGCCUACCAAGGCGACGAUCCGUAACUGGUCUGAGAGGAUGAUCAGUCACACUGGAACCGAGACACGGCCCAGACUCCUACGGGAGGCAGCAGUGGGGAAUAUUGGACAAUGGGCGAAAGCCUGAUCCAGCCAUGCCGCGUGUGUGAAGAAGGUCUUCGGAUUGUAAAGCACUUUAAGUUGGGAGGAAGGGCAGUAAGUUAAUACCUCGCUGUUUUGACGUUACCAACAGAAUAAGCACCGGCUAACUUCGUG